ensembl:lncRNA
GCCUGGGCGUCGGCAGCGCGUUCACGUCUGCUGCGUAGGAACCAAACAUCACAUUACUCACCCAAAUCUGGGUUUAUUACGUAAAAAAAGAAAUAUAACUUAUCAAAAUGCUUUCGGCCACGCUCGACAGCAGUGGCUCCCCAAAGAAACGAGCCUUUUCUCGGGCAGUGAGCGAAGACGAGUCCCUCCGAAGCUUUAUAAAGGAGGCUGAGAGUUCAUCCAGGCGUUUGGCACGAAGUGACAGUCGAGCAGGGACAUUGAAAAAGAGGACUGAGAGUCAGACUGAACAAGAACUCUUCACGGGACUACCAGAAAUGCUGGAGCUCCAGGCAAGCUACGAGGAGGCUGUGGCAGAGCUGCGUGGGCUAGAGGUGGAGCGCGACACACUGCUGUUUCAGGUGGACGUGCUGCAGGACUCUCUGGAGGGAGUGGAGGAGCUGCUGGCAGAGACCCAGAGAGAGGCAGGGCAGGCCAACGCUGAGCUGGAAAGAGAGCGAGAAGCCCGGAGGAAACUGGAGGGAAUGGUCAGCUCUUUAAUGAAAGAAGUGGAGAGGUUGAAAGAGGAAAGAAAUAAUACUCUCACUGAUAAAGGAAGUCAGAACGACACCAUUAGACCCAUACUGCCCUCUGCUGGUGACAUGGAGAUUGUUGUGGAAAAGAUUCGAAAGUUUGUGAGUAUGUCUCCGAUGCGUGUGCCGUCUUUGGCCUUGGACAGGCCCGCGUCUGAGGAGGGCGUUCUGCAGAGGCCUUGUGAAAAUGGUGUAGAUGAUGAAAAGACGGAUUCGGACAGCAUUAGUGCCUACGAGGACGCUCCUUCCGACACUCCUGACAACGACAGGCUGUUUCCAGGAGAGGACGCCACUGCAGACCUGCCCCACGAUUCAGAGAACACAGCUGAAAAGCAACCAGAGGCGUGUGUGGUUUCUUAGGGGAAUGUUUUGGUCUGUAUUUUGUUUGUUGAUAUCAGACGAAGGGCCACUGCAAAAACUGUAUCAGGGCAAUUUAGUAAAAGAGGGAGUAUUAUGCGAAAUCUUUUUUUUUUUUUUGCUUUCUACCAUGCUAUAACGUUGUUCUUUCAUCAAAAACAUGCUUGAAGAGGUUUUAGAUGUCAUCCUUGCAUGUUUCAGUAAUCUAGCGAUCUCUUCUGGGCCCUAUAGGGAGGAGUGACUUAGCCUGGAGAGCAAAGGAAAACAUGUUAAUACGCUGUUUUUGCUGAAUAUAUAGUGUACCAUAGAAGAACCAAUGAACCAUAUAGCUUUAGUUUCAUAAAUACUCUUCUCUUUCAAAGAAGCCAAAAUAAUAAGGGACCAAUGUUUUUAAGGGAAAAAUAACUGAAUUGCAGGGGCCAUAAUUCUGACCAAAUUUCAAGAAUUUUUUUAACUGUCUUUUCUUACCCCUACUAAUAGUUUUUACAGUGGUCCUAAUGUUUUUCAGACUUAAGUGUUUCUUUAAAUUUACAUUGUACCAAGACUGUUAAUUUCACUGUAUAUUAAUAAUAAGCAUAUAUUAUUGAAAUCCUUCCC